rnacentral:lncRNA from 1 species
CAAAACUUUAUCUUCAUCAUUUUGCUAACAUUCUCCCCCUUUUUGAUGAUGAUCAAAAACUCCUUUGAAUUAAAGUUUUUAGUAAUAAUCAGAGUAAAAACACAACUCAUGAAAGACAAGGGCAUUAGUGAAUAACAAUAAGCUUUAAGAUAUUUUCUCCCCCUUUUUUAUCAUAAUUAAAAAGUUGUGUUUCAUGUUCUNCCCCUAAGAUAAUACUCCC